rnacentral:rRNA from 1 species
UGGGGAAUAUUGCACAAUGGGGGAAACCCUGAUGCAGCGACGCCGCGUGAGUGAUGAAGUAUUUCGGUAUGUAAAACUCUAUCAGCAGGGAAGAUAAUGACGGUACUCAACAAGGAAGUGACGGCUAACUACGUGCCAGCAGCCGCGGUAAAACGUAGGUCACAAGCGUUGUCCGGAAUUACUGGGUGUAAAGGGAGCGCAGGCGGGAAGACAAGUUGGAAGUGAAAUCUAUGGGCUCAACCCAUAAACUGCUUUCAAAACUGUUUUUCUUGAGUAGUGCAGAGGUAGGCGGAAUUCCCGGUGUAGCGGUGGAAUGCGUAGAUAUCGGGAGGAACACCAGUGGCGAAGGCGGCCUACUGGGCACCAACUGACGCUGAGGCUCGAAAGUGUGGGUAGCAAACAGGAUUAGAUACCCUGGUAGUCCACACCGUAAACGAUGAUUACUAGGUGUUGGAGGAUUGACCCCUUCAGUGCCGCAGUUAACACAAUAAGUAAUCCACCUGGGGAGUACGACCGCAAGGUUGAAACUCAAAGGAAUUGACGGGGGCCCGCACAAGCAGUGGAGUAUGUGGUUUAAUUCGACGCAACGCGAAGAACCUUACCAAGUCUUGACAUCCUGCGACGAUGCUGGAAACAGUAUUUUCCUUCGGGACGCAGAGACAGGUGGUGCAUGGUUGUCGUCAGCUCGUGUCGUGAGAUGUUGGGUUAAGUCCCGCAACGAGCGCAACCCUUACUGUCAGUUACUACGCAAGAGGACUCUGGCAGGACUGCCGUUGACAAAACGGAGGAAGGUGGGGAUGACGUCAAAUCAUCAUGCCCUUUAUGACUUGGGCUACACACGUACUACAAUGGCGUUAAACAAAGAGAAGCAAGACCGCGAGGUGGAGCAAAACUCAGAAACAACGUCCCAGUUCGGACUGCAGGCUGCAACUCGCCUGCACGAAGUCGGAAUUGCUAGUAAUCGUGGAUCAGCAUGCCACGGUGAAUACGUUCCC